AUGAAUCAGUGGAGAAUCGAGAGGGAUAGUAGUUUGGCCCUCACAAUUGGUAUCAGAGUCGUUCGAUUCUGCUCUAAAAAUCCACCCAAAUUUUUCCCAAUUCAUUCCAUGGACUCACGGCGGCGCGCGGAGCUCCUGGCGACCCUCUCGCCGGAGGGUUUGGCGAUGUAUGUGGUUCUGAAGGCCCAGCUCGCUCGUGAUCUGGACCGAAACUUCGCCGCCUCCAAGGCGAGGCGAGAGAAGUCCGUGGAGACGGCGUUCGCCGACCUCCACACCAAGCUGGACCGGACUAUCGACGACCUACGUUGGAAGGUGCGCGGCGACGACGGUCGUAGGAGUGCCCCUACAGCAGCGGCGUUGGCUUCAUCGACGACGAGAUCGGCCGCGUUUCCGCCUGUCCCGCGCGGCAGCGGCGCAACUGUCGUGGACAUCUCCACGCCAGCCACGGUCUCCGCUCCAUCGGCGCACACGGCAACAUCUACGUCACCCCCAUCAUGGCGGCGCUGGACUCUACUUCGCCCCGAGUCCUGGCUGUGA
rnacentral:rRNA from 1 species